rnacentral:rRNA from 1 species
UUGAACGCUGGCGGCAGGCCUAACACAUGCAAGUCGAACGGUAACAGGAAACAGCUUGCUGUUUCGCUGACGAGUGGCGGACGGGUGAGUAAUGUCUGGGAAACUGCCUGAUGGAGGGGGAUAACUACUGGAAACGGUAGCUAAUACCGCAUAACGUCGCAAGACCAAAGAGGGGGACCUUCGGGCCUCUUGCCAUCGGAUGUGCCCAGAUGGGAUUAGCUAGUAGGUGGGGUAACGGCUCACCUAGGCGACGAUCCCUAGCUGGUCUGAGAGGGUGACCAGACACCCGUGAACAGAAACGCGGUCCAGGCCCCUAGGGGGGGCAAGAGGGGGGAAUAUUGCAAAAUGGGGGGAAACCUGGUGCAGGCAUGCCGGGUUUAAUGAAAAGGCCUUGGGGUUGAAAAGUUCUUUCAGGGGGGGAAAAAGGGAUAAAGUUAAUACCCUUGCCCAUUGGCGUUACCCGCAGAAAAAGCCCCGGCAAAACCCG